AAAACUGACAGAAUGUACAACGGAAAGAGUGAACCCUAUUGUAAACUACAAACUUUAGUUACUAAUAAUACAUCAAUAUUGGUUCAUCAAUUGUA